CCACACCACGAAAGUGGAUUGCACUAGAAGUCUGCACGCUGACCCGCAAGGGAGGCAGCGGCCCAAGGUAUGAUUCAUGAUUGGGGUG
rnacentral:rRNA from 1 species